rnacentral:lncRNA from 1 species
UCAAAACAGCUAAAAAGAUGUUUUGAGUGUUUUCUAGCAAAAACCUUGUAUAUUUACAAAACAUGGAAAACGCUCAUUCAGAUGUCUCUCUCAUUUUCUUUUAUCUCAUUUCCACAUAUCCCACAAUCUCCGCAUCUCUCUCUCCUCCCACUCCUUUCCUUUCCUUGUUUGCAUCUCUCUCUUCCGACUGCGCCGUGGGUUUGCAUCUUAACUCUCUACACCGUGCGUGAGUAGGUCUAUCGUCUGCGGUCUGCCGUUUUCAAAGGUAUGUAACUGUUGACACAUAAAAAUUCAGCCCAAAUCGAACAGCCCAGAGUGUAAAGCCCAAUUGGAGGAUCCCCAAACCAGAUAGCCCAAAGAACGAAAUCCAAUUGAACGAAUCAAGGUUGAGGCCCAAAUAAAGGGCCCAAGAGUGCGGUAACACCAUCGCCCAAGUUUGCAAGUCGCUCAAAAUCUGAGCGAAUGGAGUGGCAUACGGUCGCCCAGAGCUGUUACUCUAUUCUCGCCCAAAUCUUCAAGUCGCCCAAGG